UGUUUCAUCAGUCAUCCUCACCGUCUUCUCAACUCAUCCACAAUUUCUCUUCUAAACUCGGUAUUAUUAUGAUGCCCUAAUUUGUAAUAUGCCGAGUUCAUCAUAUUCUACAGAUACAAAUAGACACAAAGAUGAGCAAUCUUCAAUCGCGACCGAAAGAUCGACCAAAUGAAUUUGGGUAAAUCAGCAACAAGUUUGUCGAGAGGACACAGGUUCUGUUUGAUGGAAAUUCCGUAAGUGUUCCGAUAAGCAUUAAUUUUGGCUACCAGUUAGCCAUUAGAGUUUUGUUUAGUUCAUGAUUGAUCCAAUUUCAACCAACUUUGGAGCUUUUGGUAUCAACAGUAAUUUCUUCAUCAUCAUCAUCAUCCACUUUUUAUAAUAAAAUUUAAGACACGAUCUAGGGAUAGACGUCAACGUUUGGGGAACUAGACCGACCCUUUUCACGUCUGUAUCGUAAUUCGCAUUUGUUGUGCUGGUUUUAAAGUUUUUCUGUUAUUACUUACUGUUUUUAUGUUGUUUGGACCAGCAAUAUGAUUCAAACGGGAAGUUCAUCCAUAAGGUGGACACCAGGCUAUCGGCACGGUGGACAUAAUUUGAUUAGUUUGAUUCAAACGUAAGCUUUUGCUUAACGAUUUGAUUUCAUCAAGUUUUAUAAAUAUAUUAGUUUUUGCCUGCUAUUUGUUACUCCAAUGAACAUGAUUGCUAUACAUUCGGUGUCAAAUUUAGGUUGUACAUCAAACAAUGUUCCUCGGGCUAUUCAAAUUUUUGAGUUGAUGAGGAAGUUGAAUGGGUAGAGUACAAAAUCAAAGAAACCAACAUGUUUACUGUAUAUAAAUAUCAAUAGGUGAGCUUUUAGUGACAUAUUACAUACUUAAAAAUGGUGGACAAUUCUGCUAAAUAUCCGUUGUAAUUAGUGCGCAAAUUGUUUUUUUAUUUCACAAGAGAAAGAAUCCAGCAUGUUAGGUGAAGAUGACAUUGUCGAAGAAUCACCAAAGUGAGUGUUGUAAUCUCUGCACUUUUGAUUGUGUUCAACAUUAUUAUUAUGAUUUUUUGAACAAAAGUAGUAUUGUGUUAUGUACAAGUUGUAUAAUACGUAGAGGUAUUAUAAUAUGCAACUAAACUAGAUUUCUCAGCCUUGUGUGAAAAAACAAAAAGAAUCUUGAUGUAAUUCAAUCGAGUGUACAAUGCUUGAAAUUGUGUGGAAGUCAAAUAACACGUAAGGGUAGCUUGAGUCUUUCUUUGUGAAUGUUUCAAAUUUGUCUACAGGUGGUUUGCUUGGUACAUGUUUAGUUAUUAUCAUAAGAUUUGCAUUAAUUUUGGCUUCCAAUGCAUGUUGAUUGAAUUGGGUAAAAUCGCAAAGGGCUAUUUUAAUUUCUUCUCCUACUACCCCACCACAUUGGUCGUCCAAGGUGGGUGACUGAACAUGUGAAUAGCUGUGUGUUGUUAGUAGGUAGAAGAGUUGGGGAGCAAGGGGCUAGAGUUUGAGUUCUUCUUAAUCCCCUAAAGAAUCACAUAAAGAAAUAGCACCUGAGAAGCAUCGUAAAAAAAAUCUAAGGAUGUUAAAGGUUGUGAUGAUGCUAUGCAACAACUUGAAGAAGUUGUGGAAUAACUAAUAAAUCCACAGAAGUUUACUCGAGUUGGGGAAAGUUACCAAAGGUUUGUACUUAUGUACAUAUGAUAUAAACUUGACUUUUGUGUUAAAAAUUUAUUUACAUGUAAUUUCUCUCAUCAUAAUCACUUGACCUAAACAUGUCGAAUAUCGGUGAGUGUUUGUUGUUUAUUUAUCUUUUUAUGUUUAUUUUUAUUCAAGCAAAAUGACCCUCUUGUUGCAAUAUGAUAUAAUGCAGUGCUCACAUUAUGACGUGAAUUUUC
rnacentral:lncRNA from 1 species